UGGGGAAUUUUGGACAAUGGGCGAAAGCCUGAUCCAGCAAUGCCGCGUGAGUGAUGAAGGCCUUAGGGUUGUAAAGCUCUUUUACCAGGGAUGAUAAUGACAGUACCUGGAGAAUAAGCUCCGGCUAACUCCGUGCCAGCAGCCGCGGUAAUACGGAGGGAGCUAGCGUUGUUCGGAAUUACUGGGCGUAAAGCGUACGUAGGCGGUUAYUCAAGUCAGAGGUGAAAGCCCGGGGCUCAACCCCGGAACUGCCUUUGAAACUAGGUCGCUAGAAUCUUGGAGAGGUSAGUGGAAUUCCGAGUGUAGAGGUGAAAUUCGUAGAUAUUCGGAAGAACACCAGUGGCGAAGGCGACUCACUGGACANGUAUUGACGCUGAGGCCCGAAAGCGUGGGGAGCAAACAGGAUUAGAUACCCUGGUAGUCCACGCCGUAAACGAUGAUAACUAGCUGUCCGGGCACAUGGAGCUUGGGUGGCGCAGCUAACGCAUUAAGUUAUCCGCCUGGGGAGUACGGUCGCAGGAUUA
rnacentral:rRNA from 1 species